GGGAAUGUGGCUUAGUGGUAGAGUGCUUGUCUAGCAUACAUGAAGCCAUGGGUUUAAUUCCUCAGUACCA
rfam:Dipodomys ordii contig_65269, whole genome shotgun sequence.